AUUGAACGCUGGCGGCAGGCCUAACACAUGCAAGUCGAACGAGUGGCGGAAGGGUGAGUAAUGUCUGGGAAACUGCCAGAUGGAGGGGGAUAACUACUGGAAAAGGUAACUAAUACAGAAUACCAUCGGAAGGGGCCAGAUGGGAUCAGCUAGUAGGGGGGGUAACGGCUCACCUAGGCGCAGAUCCCUAGCUGGUAUGAGUGGAUGACAAGCCACACUGUAAUUGAGAUACGUGCUCGACCCCUACGGGAGGCAGCAGUGGGGAAUAUUGCACAAUGGGCGCAAUCCUGAUGCAGCCAUGCCGCGUGUAUGAAGAAGUCCUUCGGGUUGUAAAGUACUUUCAGCGGUGAGGCGUUACCCGCAGAAGAAGCACCGGCUAACUCCGUGCCAGCAGCCGCGGUAAUAC
rnacentral:rRNA from 1 species